GUGCUACUACAACCGCUCUGGGAAGGUUAAAGUAUCGUAUGAUCACCUUCAUAUACAGGCGAGUCUGAGUCUAAGA
rfam:Lysinibacillus sphaericus OT4b.31 genomic scaffold Ls31_scaffold1, whole genome shotgun sequence.